rnacentral:lncRNA from 1 species
UGAAUGAUGAUGGAUGCUCCUCCAAUGUAUUGCUCUCACCAAAAACCCCAAACUUUGUCAAUGGAAUGGGUGAAAAAUGAAGAACUAUGGAAUUUUAGUGAGUGGGUGAUGAGAAAAGUGGAGGAAAUCCUUUAGAAUGCUCUUGAAAGUGAAAGCAAAGUGCUAGGGUCUGUAGAGAAUGCUUGGGUGCACCCUAGGGGAGUUUUAAAAGUGUUCAAAUGGGCGUCCAAUGAUGAGCUUUUUGAAAAGACUAUGUUGCAGCCAGUGGCCAAAUGAGCGCUCAACGGUGGACGUUAAAAUUUUUUCUCCCUUUUUGGCUUGCCUUCACGAUUCAGAUCUUGUAACACUUGAUUUCAACUUUCAAUUUUUCAAUUUUAUGCACUUCCCCUCUUUUAUGCAAGACUCAAAGCCUAUAAUGCAACUAUAACAGAGUUAAAAAUAAGAAAACAGUCAACUGGGUUGCCUCCCAGGUAGCUCUUGUUUAAUGUCACGAGCCUGACCCAAACCUUUUAGCACUCAUCAGUAAGUGCUUCCCAACACCUUUUUGUAGGUGUACUUACCUGUAUCCUUCAGUAGAUACAUAAUUAAUUAGCAUCCCUCAGUAGAUGCUACCCAAAAAUUGUUCAAAAAAUCCAAAUUACAUGUCUAAAUAAUAAAAUAAUAAAUAUUAAUGUUUUACAACAAUUUGGCUAUCACCCAACAACUCAUGUCUUCUCGCCUACGUUGGUGUCUUCAGCCCACCAACUCUUCAGAUGCAUCCUAUCCACCUCCUUGGGUAGUCUGGAGUAUGGUCUUUCAAUCUCCACCACUCCUUUCUCUUUAAGCUCUUUCACUAACCACUCCUUCUUCUUGUAUUUCACCUUUGCACCAGGUUGGAGUAUUGCUUUUUUUAAAUUAAGGUGGAUUCCUUUAUCAAUAUCUUCUUCCUUAGGCACCUGUAAAAUAUUACACUUAUCAUUAGUACCUGUAUCUUCUCCAGUUGCAACAUCUCUUCUUGAAGCUUUAUAUUUGGCUCUCCUUUUCUUUCAUGUUAUCUUCUCCUCAGAGCCACUAUACAUCAAAACAUUUUCCUGGUCCUUUAGCAUAAUUCUUCCUUCAUAGAUACUCAUCAGCAAUUUAGCAGUUCUCAUGAAAGGCCUUCCCAAAAUCACUGGAAUCCUUUCAUUUGUGUCCAUAUCCAUGACUAUAAAAUCAACCAAGAACUCAAGAUGCUCCACACGAACAAUAACAUCCUCCACCAUACCAAUCGGCCACUUAGUAGAUCCAUCC